rnacentral:rRNA from 1 species
UUAGUGCUGCAGUAACGCAUUAAGCACUCCGCUGGGGAGUACGGCCGCAAGGCUGAAACUCAAAGGAAUUGACGGGGGCCCGCACAAGCGGUGAGCAUGUGGUUUAAUUCGAAGCAACGCGAAGAACCUUACCAGGUCUUGACAUCCCGCUGCCCGCCUAGGAGACUAGGCUUUCCCUUCGGGGACAGCGGUGACAGGUGGUGCAUGGUUGUCGUCAGCUCGUGUCGUGAGAUGUUGGGUUAAGUCCCGCAACGAGCGCAACCCUUGAUCUUAGUUGCCAGCAUUCAGUUGGGCACUCUAAGGUGACUGCCGGUGACAAACCGGAGGAAGGUGGGGAUGACGUCAAAUCAUCAUGCCCCUUAUGACCUGGGCUACACACGUGCUACAAUGGACGGUACAAAGGGCUGCAAACCCGCGAGGGGGAGCCAAUCCCAGAAAACCGUUCUCAGUUCGGAUUGCAGGCUGCAACUCGCCUGCAUGAAGCCGGAAUCGCUAGUAAUCGUGGAUCAGCAUGCCACGGUGAAUACGUUCCCGGGCCUUGUACACACCGCCCGUCACACCACGAGAGUUUGUAACACCCGAAGUCGGUGAGGUAACCCUUGUGGAGCCAGCCGCCG